rnacentral:ncRNA from 2 species
UACGGAGGGUGCAAGCGUUGUCCGGAUUUAUUGGGUUUAAAGGGUGCGUAGGCGGCUUUAUAAGUCAGCGUUGAAAUAUGGCAGCUUAACUGUCAGACUGGCAUUGAUACUGUAGAGCUUGAGUGAAGUCGAGGUUGGCGGAAUUGACGGUGUAGCGGUGAAAUGCAUAGAUAUCGUCAAGAACACCGAUUGCGAAGGCAGCUAACUAGACUUUAACUGACGCUGAGGCACGAAAGCGUGGGGAUCAAACAGG